AUUUCUUCUAGGCAGCAUGCUUUUGAGGUGUCCUUUCAUUUCUGGGGAAUACAGUCUCACAGCAUCAUUCCUGGCCCUCUGGCUCUUACGAGUUUUCCAGCUCCUCUUCUGACAUGUUCCCGGAACAACCUUAAAGAAAAUGAGGAGAGUCCAGAGACCUUCAAUCUUAGCAAUGCCACAUGUUCUGCUGAAGAUGAUGAUGAUAAGAGUUCUGCUUACCCAGCCAAGGCUGUGGACUGCUUCUGCACCAACCCUUUGGAGUGGUUCCUUGGUGCUAAGACCACAAGGAGUAGCACCACGGUAGCCAACAACUCUAGCUGUUUUUGCAGCAUCCUUUGUUUUCCUCUCAAGAGCUCCUUCUUGCAUCUCUCUUGGUCUAUUUCAGUUGAUUAAUUCAUUCCCUGAGCCCAUUCUGACUUAACAUUUAUUUUUGUUGUUUACAGGCAGUGGAACGGGCAUGCUAGGAUAGGAGCUUGUUGGAGGACAGUAUGAUGUGCUCAGAGUGCUAAGUGCAACGAUGUAUUAUUCUACAGCACAGGGCUUGCUUGAUGGAUGCAUUAGUUAUACAUUGUCGAAUGCAAAAAGAAAAACUAUAAUAUACAUGAUAAUAAUUGACACACCUAAAGUACUAGUCACAUACCAGAUCAUGUUCUCCGACCAUUUUACAUAAUUAUUUUAAAGUUAUUUUUAAUCUGUACAAUUUUCCCUUUGAUUCAAAGGAAAAAAACCAAAAUGGUUCAUGAAUAGACCCAAGAUUGCACAAUUACUAGAUGUGAUUAGUAUGAAGUCAUUCAUUGUAUUAUCAUUCAUAAUGGCAAACUGAGAUGCAAACGUGAUUGGUAUGAAGUCAUUCAUAUAUUAUUGAUAUGAAGUCAUAUGUUAUAUAUAAUUCAUUCAUUCCAUAUGUUAUCAUUCAUAAUGGCAAACUGAGAUGCAAAUGUGAUUGGUAUGAAGUCAUAUAUUAUAUAUAAUUCAUUCAUUCCAUAUGUUAUCAUUCAUAAUGGCAAAUUGAAGUGCAAACAUGAUUUGUAUGAAGUCAUUCAUAUAUAUAUAUAUAUACAUAUAUAUAAC
rnacentral:lncRNA from 1 species